UACGGAAGGCAGCAGGGGGAAUAUUGCACAAUGGGCGAAAGCCUGAUGCAGCUAUGCCGCGUGUAUGAAGAAGGCCUUAGGGUUGUAAAGUACUUUCAUCGGGGAGGAAAAACAAAACUAAUAAUUUUAUUUCUUGACGUUACCCGAAAAAGAAGCACCGGCUAACUCCGUGCCAGCAGCCGCGGUAAUACGGAGGGUGCUAGCGUUAAUCAGAAUUACUGGGCGUAAAGAGCACGUAGGUGGUUUUUUUAAGUCAGAUGUGAAAUCCCUGGGCUUAACCUGGAACUGCAUUUUGAAACUGAAAUACUAGAGUAUCGUAGAGGGAGGUAGAAUUCUAGGUGUAGCGGUGAAAUGCGUAGAUAUCUGGAGGAAUACCUGUGGCGAAAGCGGCCUCCUAAACGAAUACUGACACUGAGGUGCGAAAGCGUGGGGAGCGAAACAGGGAUUAGAUACC
rnacentral:rRNA from 1 species